CGUGACAAACAGGAGCACAGGUGAGUCUCAAACUGAAAGUGUUUCAGAGACUUCUGGAUUCUGUUCCUGCAGGACAAGACCGUCUGUACUACUGAAAUGAAAAUGAGUCUGUCAGUCAAAGCUCAGCUUUAGGAGGGGAAGAGACAGAGCAAGAUAAGAAGACUGAGAGAAAAAGAAAGAGUGAUGGAGAGGAGGAGAGAACAGGUCAUGCUGAGCAUCUGAUGGUCUUCAGCGACACAGAGACACCAGAGCUGAGCUGUUUUCAGUGUCAGUUUAUCUGCAGUAAUGUCAGAGGAGCGAGGAAAGGACUCUCUCUCUAAGAUGAGUCUCUCAGAGAAACAGAGUAAAAGAUCAGACUCACAUGUGUCCAGCUCUGUGUCUGUGAAGAGUGACUGGUCAAAAGAGAAAGGACCAAACUUCAGUGAAAGAAAACCAACAACUAACAAAAGG